rnacentral:rRNA from 1 species
UACGGAGGGGGGCUAGCGUUGUUCGGAAUUACUGGGCGUAAAGCGCGCGUAGGCGGCUUUGUAAGUUAGAGGUGAAAGCCCAGGGCUUAACCCUGGAAUUGCCUUUAAGACUGCAUCGCUAGAAUCGUGGAGAGGUAAGUGGAAUUCCGAGUGUAGAGGUGAAAUUCGUAGAUAUUCGGAAGAACACCAGUGGCGAAGGCGACUUACUGGACACGUAUUGACGCUGAGGUGCGAAAGCGUGGGGAGCAAAUAGG